AUGUUCAUAUAUAUAUCUUCAUUUUGGUUUCUUCUUCCCAAAUCUCCCAAAUCCCAAGGCGCAUCCUUCUUGAGAACAACCAUAAACCCAGAAAGCAGAAACCACAGGAAACCAACCCCACAAGUAACCAUGUCUUUGAGCCCACCGAGGACGCGAACCGAUAAUACAACCACAAGAACCUUCCAGCCGUACUGGUGCUACCGGUGCCAUCGAAUGGUCAGGAUUGCCCCCUCAGACCCAUCAGAAAUCAUAUGUCCUAGAUGUUCCGGGCAGUUCCUUUGCGAGGUUGAGAUGAAUAGACCGAGAUUAGUUGAUGAUUUCACUGCUUUUGAUCCCUCGCCUGAAGCUCGCUUACUUGAAGCGCUUUCUCUCAUGCUUGACCCUCCUAUUAGAAGGUUAAAUUUUGGUCUUCAUGAUGAUCUGGAAUCAGAAUCUCGUGGAAGGUCCUGGUUUCGAAGACGAAAUCGAUGGGACCCUGAUGGUGAAAUCCGUCCCCGGAGGCGUCGACAUCUUAGUUUAGAUGGGAGAGAGAACUGGGAAGAUGAACCAGGACUCCAGUUUAGACCAAGAACAUGGAUCGUCCUUAGACCAUAUGAUCCUUUUGCUCCAACUAUACCAGGUUUGCGACCUGAAACUCCGAUGCCUCCCAGGGUUAAUCCCAGGGAGUACUUUUUCGGCCCAGGCCUAAACGAUUUGAUCGAACAACUGACUCAAGAUGACCGUCCAGGGCCACCACCGGUACCCGAAUCAGUUAUUGACGCAAUACCAACGGUGAAGGUCACCGCAAGUCAUUUGGUGAAUGACUCUAAUUGUCCAGUUUGCAAGGAAGAGUUCAAGAUUGGAGGGGAGGCAAAGGAACUGCCUUGCAAGCACAUAUAUCAUAAAGAUUGUAUUGUGCCUUGGUUAAGGUUGCACAACUCUUGCCCAGUCUGUCGAAAAGAGUUGCCGAUUCUUCCUGAAAAUAGCAGUCAUGCAUCUGAUGGUCAACGUGAGUGCGAGCAUGAAGAGGACGUGAAUGGAAGGUGCCUAAGGUGGAGAAGACAACUAGCAAACUUGUGGCCAUUUCGUCCGAGAUAUGGAAGAAUCAGUCCUCAUGGAGAGCAUGACGGUGCUUCUCAGGGAGGAAUGUAAAUGUAUAAACUAGUUAUGGAAGGGCACUCUGGAAAUUCAUCCUCUAUAGCUCGUAAAUUACUGGACAAAGCUGGUUUCGUAGGUUAUUUCAGCAUUUUACUCAUUGAUGAACAAUCGUGCAUCUUGGAAAUCACCCCAAGCUUACAUCCUGAAAUAUCUAACAAAAUUGUAUUUGUUUUUCAUUUCAAAGAUACGAUGGCACUACUGUAUAUAUUGCAAUAACUUUAUCACAGUGAUCUGCGCAAUGAUUGAAACUUUAAGUGAA